rnacentral:rRNA from 1 species
GGGCUGCAGUAUUUUGACUGUACAAAGGUAGCAUAAUCAAUAGUCUCUUAAUUGGUGACUUGUAUGAAAGAUUGGAUGAGAUAUAAACUGUCUCUAAUUAAUCUAUAAAAAUUAAUUUUUUAGUUAAAAAGCUAAAAUAAUUUUAAAAGACGAGAAGACCCUAUAGAGUUUAAUAUUUUAUUUAAUAAUUAUUAAUAUAUGCAUAUAAUUUUAACAAUUAAAAUUAAAUCAAAUAUUUUGUUGGGGUGAUAAAAAAAUUAAAUUAACUUUUUUUGAUUGUAGACAUUAAUUUAUGGUUAAAUGAUCCAUUUAUAGUGAUUAAAAGAAAAAAUUACCUUAGGGAUAACAGCGUAAUUUUUUUUUUUAGUUCAAAUAGGAAAAAAAGUUUGCGACCUCGAUGUUGGAUUAA